rnacentral:lncRNA from 1 species
CAAUGUUUCUAUGAAUGUAAGGACACGAUCUUAGUAUUGAAUCAACUGUACAAUUUCUGUUGAAAGGAGAUUGAGAUGACGAGUAACUAUUUUUUGUUCUGUAAAUGUACUUUUUUGAAAGAAAUGUCUAUUUGUCUUUUUAUUGUGAUUUAAAGGUAGACCAUCCUAUAAGGAGAAUUUCAAAAAUUAAACAACUCAUCAUAGAUACCAGGCUUUAAAUUAG